UUACCUUUUUGUUUCCCACAAGAUAUCCCAUUGGUUUGUUACAUUGAUGAUAUUCUGCUGAUUGGACCUAGUGAGCAAGAGGUAACAACUGCUCUAGGAUUACUGGUAAGAUAUUUACAUGUCAGGAGUAGGAAAUAAAUAUGAUAAAUUCAGAAGCUUUCUACCUAAGUGAAUUCUGUAGUGGUCCAGUAGUGUAGGCCAUGCCAAAAUAUCACUUCUAAGGUAAGGGUAAUUUGUGCCCAAAGAUUCAGUGGCAGAUAGGGUUGCUGUUAGGGCCUUUGGCAGGCCCCUAUAGGUGAAUUGCAGUGUAGACCUUUAAAAUGUGGGUGUAAGCCCUGCCAUUCUUUGCAGAUGACUACUCUCUUUUUGAGGAUCUAAGCCUUACUAGAAACUGAACACUUAACCAUGGGACAUCAAGUUCUCAUCUGACCAGACCUGCUCAUCAUGAAUUUGGUAUUAUUCUGACCAACAAGCUGUGAAGUUGGGCAUGAACAGCAGCAAAUAGAAGUAAUAUGUGUAUGAUCAGGCUGGAGCAGGCCCUGAAGGCACAAGUAAGUUGCAUGAAAGAGUGACCCAAAUACCUAUGGUUGAACACUCCACCUACACAGCCUUAUUUUUCUUCCAACCUUCACCUACAGCCUCAUGGCGAAGUCUCAGUGACCAGCUGACUAUAUAUAAACCAGUUACAGAAACAGUAACUUUUUCUCUUGUUGUUAAUAUUGUGUGUGUAUGUAGCAAAUAUCUCUGUUUUUCUCUCUCUUAUUCCCUUGUCAUGUAACAUAAGAUGUAUUAACUUUAUAUUGUAGUAUUUAAGUAUUGUUAAUUUUACAUCAUAGGGUUCAAGUUAUCAAGGAGAAGAGCGAACAUCACUCAAAGACCUUUCCUCUUCUUCCAGCAAGAAGGCCCUUACCAGAUGCCAGCACCUUGAAAUUGGUCUUUCUAGCCUCCAGAUCUGUGAGUUAAUACAUUUUUCUUCAUUAUAAAUUACCCAGUCUGUGAUAUUUUAUUUUACCAGUGCAAAGAGAGCAAAGACACAUGUUAAUGAUGGUUAUAUCUUUUUGGAUAAUUGAACCAUUCAUCAUUAUGUAAUGACACUUUCUCAGUGAUAAAUUUUACUGUUCUUAAGUAUGAUCUGUAUGAAAUAAAUACAACCAUACCUGAUUUUAUUGCACCUCACUUUAUUUCAUUUUGCAGAUAUUGUAGUUUUUACAAAUUGAAAGUCUGUGGCAACCCUACAACUAGGAAGUCUGUCGAUGCUACUCUUCCAAUAGCACGUGCUCACUUUUGUCUUUUUGUCACAUUUUGGUAAUUCUCUCCGUAUUUCAAGCUCUUUUAUUAUUAUUAUAUUUGUAAUGGUGAAGUGGGAUAGGUGAUCUUUGAUGUUAUCAUUGUAAUUGUUUUGGGGCACCAUGAACUUGUAAGAUACUCUUAUAAGAUGGUGAACUUAAUCAAUAAAUGAGUGUGUUUUGACUGCACCACUGAUUGGCUUUUCCCCAAUCACCUUUCAUCUCUUUGAGACUCCCUAUUUCCUAAAACAAAAUAUGUUAAAAUUAAGCUAAUUAAUAACCCUCA
rnacentral:lncRNA from 1 species